rnacentral:rRNA from 1 species
GAUGAACGCUGGCGGCGUGCCUAAUACAUGCAAGUCGAGCGAACGGACGAGAAGCUUGCUUCUCUGAUGUUAGCGGCGGACGGGUGAGUAACACGUGGAUAACCUACCUAUAAGACUGGGAUAACUUCGGGAAACCGGAGCUAAUACCGGAUGAUAUUUUGAACCGCAUGGUUCAAAAGUUAAAGACGGUCUUGCUGUCACUUAUAGAUGGAUCCGCGCUGCAUUAGCUAGUUGGUAAGGUAACGGCUUACCAAGGCAACGAUGCAUAGCCGACCUGAGAGGAUGAUCGGCCACACUGGAACUGAGACACGGUCCAGACUCCUACGGGAGGCAGCAGUAGGGAAUAUUCCGCAAUGGGCGAAAGCCUGACGGAGCAACGCCGCGUGAGUGAUGAAGGUCUUCGGAUCGUAAAACUCUGUUAUUAGGGAAGAACAUAUGUGUAGGUAACUGUGGACAUCUUGACGGUACCUAAUCAGAAAGCCACGGCUAACUACGUG